rnacentral:rRNA from 1 species
AACGUACGCUGGCGGCACGCCUAACACAUGCAAGUCGAACGCAGUAGCAAUACUGAGUGGCAAACGGGUGAGUAUAAUGUGGGAAUCUGCCUUUUGGUUCGGAAUAACACGAGGAAACUUGUGCUAAUACCGGAUAAGCCUUUACAGGGAAAGUUUUAAUGCCAAAAGAUGAGCCCGCACUUGAUUAGCUAGUUGGUAAGGUAAUAGCUUACCAAGG